rnacentral:rRNA from 1 species
UACGAAGGGGGCAAGCGUUGUUCGGAAUUACUGGGCGUAAAGGGCGCGUAGGCGGCCACCGCAAGUCGACUGUGAAAUCUCCGGGCUUAACCCGGAAAGGUCAGCCGAUACUGCGGGGCUAGAGUGCAGAAGGGGCAACUGGAAUUCUCGGUGUAGCGGUGAAAUGCGUAGAUAUCGAGAGGAACACCUGCGGCGAAGGCGGGUUGCUGGGCUGACACUGACGCUGAUGCGCGAAAGCUAGGGGAGCGAACGGG